ensembl:misc_RNA Metazoa_SRP Metazoan signal recognition particle RNA
GCCGGGCGUGGUGACGUGCGCCUGUAGUCCCAGCUACUCAGGAGGCUGAGCUGGGAGGAUCGCUUGAGCCCGGGAUUUUGAGGCUGCAGUGAGUGGCGAUGGCACCACUGCACUCCAGCCUGGGUGACAAGAGUGAGACCCUGUCUCAA